GCAGCUGGUACCUGGGAUCGGGCAGGACGGUCCUCUUGCUGGCGCGGGCGGCCGGAGUCGCCUUGCUCUUCUCCAUGGCCAUCAGGUAAUGAUGAAGCCCCUGCUCUGGUCCAAGCUACCUGUGAACAGCGCCCAGCGGGCCGGGCCCCCAACCUCGCUCCUGAACGUACCCGCAAGCCCGCCGUGAGAAUUCAGCGAAGAGUAAAGGCUGGAGAAAGUUGCGUGUCUCAGGCUAAGCAGAGCAAAGUGGGGUGAGGGCUUCGCCGCUAGGAACAGAGAUGCCCUUAGGGAGCCCCCUGAUGGAAGAGCUCUCUGCUUAAGAAGGUCAGCACGCCCUUACACUCAGUUUUACCACGUUUUUCAAGAUCCAAGGCACAAUAGGCAUAAAGUUAUCCUGAAAAGGACAAGAGGAGUGUCAGAAGUAGGAAUGGCAGUCGAAGGAGCUUCGUCUGGCAGCAGAAAGCCAAAAUGACAGGCAAGCACAAAAUAUAUUAAUGAGACAAAGCUAUGCAUGAGCGAAAUAUCAAACUUUCAUCUUCUACCCACUUUUUUUUUUUUUUGCUUAAAAAUAGGAAGACAGAAUGUCUUGUCAAGGGUCACCCCAGGAGGAGGAGUAAAUUCUCCAAAAAUCAGAACAUAUUUUUAUGAUUUAAUUAAUGCAAUUUCUCUCAAUGUUUCUGUUUGUCAUUUGAGCAUCCACAUGAUCAGACCUGACAUCUGCCUACAUUUUAUUGGUCAUCUUUGACUUCAGUUAAGAACCCUUUGGGUUUUGCUUUUUGCUUUUUUUUCCCCCCAGCAGCACACUGUAGUAAGUUUGGAACAAGACACACCUGAAAUCAAGUCCCUGCUCUGGGCUGGGUGAUCUUAGAGGCAAUCUCUUAACCUCAUUCUACUUUAUUGUUCUCAUAGGAAAAGUGGAAAUGAGGCCUUUUACCCCAGGGUUGUUGAGAAGACAGGGGAGAAAAAGCACAUAAAAAUGCACCUUGUCGGGCGCAGUGGCUCACACCUGUAAUCCUGCACUUUGGGAGUCUGAGGCAGGUGGAUCGCUUGAGGCCAGGAGUUCAAGACCAGCCUGGCCAACAUGAAAAAUACAUUAAAAAUAAUGUCUCUAUUAAAAAUACAAAAAUUAGCCAGGCAUGGUGGUGCACGCCUGUAACCCAGCUACUCAGGAGGCUGAGGCACAAGAAUCGCUUGAACCCAGGAAGUAGAAGCUACAGUGAGUCGAGAUUGCACCACUGCACGCCAGCCUGGGUGAAAGAGUGAGACCCUGUCUGAAAAAAAAAAAAAAAAAAAAGCAUUUUGCCUGGCACCCAGUAGAUCCUCAAUAAAGGUCAUGUCACUUC